AUUAUUGAUACAACAAAGAAAAACUAAGCAGGGAAGGGGACUAUGAAGUGUGUGUGUGUGUGCAUGCAUGUGUGCACAUGUGCAUGUGUGUGUGCACGUACACAUGUGUGUGCACACAUGUAUAUAGGCUUCAGAUUUGAAAUAGGGAGCCCAGGGAAGCCCUCACUGAGGAGGGAACAAUGGAGUAAGACCUAGGAGACAGGUCACUAUGUGCGGCCAAAACUAGAGGAAGAGCAUGACAGGAUGCAGGGACAGCACGGGCAAGUGGCCUGUGACAGGAGGUUAUCAUGACUGGAGCCAACAAAUGAGGGGCAGAGUAGGGGAAAUGAGAUCAGAUCAUGUGGGACCUUGUGGAUAACAGCAAGGACUUUGGCUUUCAUGGGGGAGGAAUGUGAUCUGACUUGUUUUCAGUGGAUCCCUCUGGGUACUAUUCUGAUUACAAAGGCUGACCUACAACAAGUAGGCCAGGAUAGAAGCAGGGAGCCCUGUUGGGAGGCUGCUGUGCUUCAGGUGAGAGAAACUAGCCUUGGACCAGGGCGUGAUGGUGGAGAGCUGGCUGUAUUUAGAAGUGGAGGGACUUGAUGAUGAAUCCAGUGUGGGGUGUGAGAGGAGGAGAGAGCCCCAGCUGAGCCUAGGCACUUUGGCCCGAGCACAGGAAGAGCAUCAAGAUCAGGCAGAGGGUUGCAGGUGCUCACACAGCAGGACAACCAGUGGGAGCAUCUCUAGCAUCAGGCUCCCUGGCCCUGAGCCCCAUUCUGCAACUCAACCCACAGCACCUCCAGCUUCUGCAGGGAGAGGCAACAAGUUGCUAACCAGCUCAAGUGUUAGGUAUUUCUAAAGUGCUCGACUUCUUCUUCCAACACAUUCCCACGGUUCACGCUGACACCUGAAAUAAUUCUCACUUUAGAGAUUAGUUUGAAUUAAUUCCAACAAAUGUUAAAUGGGCACAUAUUUUCAAGCGCAAAACCGUGCAAGAACCCCUUGGGGCACCUGGAAAAAACAAGUCUGGGGCUGCUGCCCAGGAGCCCCCAGUCCAGUUAGGAAGC
rnacentral:lncRNA from 1 species